rnacentral:rRNA from 1 species
GACGAGUCUCACGAACGUUAUUCGGAAUUACUGGGCUUAAAGGGUGCGUAGGCGGUGGAGUAAGUCGGAUGUGAAAUACCUUAGCUUAACUAGGGAACUGCACUCGAUACUACUUUGCUAGAGUAAGACAGAGGUGAGUGGAACUGAGGGUGGAGCGGUGAAAUGCGUUGAUAUCCUCAGGAACACCGGUGGCGAAGGCGGUUCUCUGGGCAUGUUCUGACGCUGAGGAGCGAAAGUGUGGGGAGCGAACAGG